rnacentral:rRNA from 1 species
GUCGGGAGUUAGGAAAUGCAAGGAUGUUAAUAGCAUCUUUGCUUGACUAAGGCUCCGGAGGAAGCCACGGCUAACUCUGUGCCAGCAGCCGCGGUAAUACAGAGGCGGCAAGCGUUGUUCGGAAUUAUUGGGCGUAAAGAGCACGUAGGCGGCCGUGUAAGUCGGUUGUGAAAGCCUUCCGCUCAACGGGAGAACGGCAUCCGGUACUGCAUGGCUCGAGUGCGGGAGGGGAGAGUGGAACUUCUGG